GACGAACCGUCCUAACGUUGUUCGGAAUCACUGGGCCUAAAGGGCGCGUAGGCGGGUUCCCAAGUCGGUGGUGAAAUCUUUCGGCCCAACCGGAAAACAGCCGCCGAUACUGGGAGUCUUGAGGGAGGUAGGGGUCGAUGGAACUUCCGGUGGAGCGGUGAAAUGCGUAGAUAUCGGAAGGAACGCCGGUGGCGAAAGCGAUCGACUGGACCUUUUCUGACGCUGAGGCGCGAAAGCCAGGGGAGCAAACGGG
rnacentral:rRNA from 1 species